CUGCAUUACUGAUAACAACAAGAUGACAUUUUGGAGUCAAGUGACAAAGGCACAGGUCUUAAUCGCCCCACCAGCAAGGAAUUUCUUUAUCCAUUUCAAGGACUAAGACAAAAUGGCGACUGCUGCGACUCCACGAAAUGAGAGAGAAAACACAAUGCGUAUGGGGCUACUGAUACACCAGUCAAAGGAUGUGCUUCAGGAUCUCCUCAGUACACAGUUACAAACAACUUAUCCAGGGUUGUUUGAUCCGUCAAAUGGUGGCAAGUUGUUUGAUAUUCUAACUGAGCAAAAGGCAAAUCAAACUUUGCUACAGUUGAAAAAAAUGAAAGUUUUAAAUCCAAGCCAAAUGAAGCUUCUAUACCCUUCUGGGAAACCCUCCACAACUGUGACAUUGAAGGACUUAGAUGUAACUCUUACAGUAGUCUUGUUAAGAAAUAUCACAACACUUAACCCAAAGGGCAGUUGGGAGAAUCCACCAAUAACAGACACGUCCAUGGAGGCCCAGAUUGGCAGAGUGAAGAAAUACCGCAAUAA